rnacentral:rRNA from 1 species
AGCGAACGCUGGCGGCAGGCCUAACACAUGCAAGUCGAGCGCCCCGCAAGGGGAGCGGCAGACGGGAGAGUAACACGUGGGAACAUGCCCUUCAGUUCGGAACAACCCAGGGAAACUUGGGCUAAUACCGGAUACGUCCGUAAGGAGAAAGAUUUAUCGCUGAAGGAUUGGCCCGCGUCCGAUUAGCUAGUUGGUGAGGUAAUGGCUCACCAAGGCGACGAUCGGUAGCNGGUCUGAGAGGAUGAUCAGCCUCACUGGGACUGAGACACGGCCCAGACUCCUACGGGAGGCAGCAGUGGGGAAUAUUGGACAAUGGGCGCAAGCCUGAUCCAGCCAUGCCGCGUGGGUGAUGAAGGCCCUAGGGUUGUAAAGCCC